GCGCCCCGGCUGCCCCGGGGCCGGGCCGCGUCCCGUCCCACCCCCGCUCCCGCAAGUGCCGCCUUCCCCGGCGGGCGCCGCCCCCGGCUCCUAAACCCCCGAGGCGGGCAGGAAACCCCGGGAGGAAAGCAGCCCGCCUGCCCCCGGGAGCAGCGCUGCUGCAACCCUUCCCGAGGCGUCCCCAGCUCGCAGGUGUCCAAAAACAGUACCCAAGUCCCACAAGGCACCAACAUCCUGAAAACAAAUGUCCGAAUCAGCCAUGCUCAGCCCAAGGGGAAAAGACAAACAGCUCAGCUUUUGCACUUCUAAAGCCUUAUGGAGCCCAGUCUACAAACCCAGACAGCAACAGAAGACAACCAGUUGCCAUGAUGGUCACCAACUUUCAUUCAGAAAAGUGUCUCUUUCCAGGACAGCAGUGAAGCAUUUGCCAGCGAGACCAUGCUCCAGUGCUUUCCAGCUUUGGGCCUCAGAUAAGUGCAUUAAAUAAGCAUUUGCGUGCCAGAGUGCCAGCUUCUAGCCAAAGGAGCUGGGUGGCCUAUUAAGAUGCCUACACUUGACAGCCUGCAUGCUCCGCUUGUGUUGUAACCUCCCAGUCCAUUGACAAGGUACCAUGAGGCAUACUCCAAUCAUAGCCUUCUUGGAGCUAGCAAGACAAGUCCUCCAUGCAGGAGUUAUGGAAACUAGCCUUUAACAGUUAGUUCACCCCUUCUGGUGGUUAACAGAAGAGGCUGAUUGCUGAUCAGCACUGCUGUGCUCUUUGGCAGGAAGUCAGAUCUGUACACAAAGCAUCCCCUCCUCCAGCCACCCCAUUUCAGUCCAUUGGCUUCAAGGACUCGGUUUUAUUCUUGCAGCACACCACAUAUUUUCCCAUCGUUCACAGCCUUGCAACCUGAGCCAAGGUCUUCUGCAGGGUCUGUCUCCACCCUCCAGGAUUAUGCUAUGCAGGCCAGCUGCCUGGAUGUCACAAGUAAACAGGAUCCUCUCCCCUUGGCUCAGGGACUCUAGCAGGAGGAAGACAGCGACUUCCCAGCAACUGGCUUUUAUGAGAACCAGGUGAUCUUCAAGCUGUCACCUGAUCCCUGGCUUUACAGCAUCAGCUGAGAGGCAGCUGAUUAGUCACAGGUCAGGCUAGGCCAGGCACUGCGCUGGAUGUGGCAAUUCCAGCAUUUGUGCCUCCUCUGCUAUUAUGGUAGGUGUUAGUUAGUGUGGUGUGUGCACUGCGAUCUGCCCUUCCAGUAGUCCUAACUUAAGUUAAGGCUAUAAACAUUGUAGGCUCUACGGAGAGAAUAAUGUCGCUAGUAGAGACUCAGUCUGGCUCUCUGAAUAGGGGUGAGCCCUCCCCCAAUCUCAACCCUUAGAGUGAAGCUCUUAAUGACCAUGGAGAGUCUUAGGCAUGUUCCCCUUCUGAAGUGGGGGAAUAUUCUUAUUUGUUCUUCAUUGUGAGCAGCAGCCAAAAGAUACAGGGAGUGGAUGUCACAGCCAGUUCACGUAUGGUAUUUAGUUAGAAGACAAAGAUGUACUUCUAAGUGUGAACAAGCCGAUUUAGCUGUCAAUACUGGGGUCAAAAUUGCAGAUGAGACCCGAACGCGAGGCAAAGGGUCAUGCUAGAAGUUAUGCAUGUCACAUGUGCAUCUGUGCUACAUGCAGAGACAAGAGGCUUGUAUUUCUCCUUCCAAAGGAACAAGGAGGCAUCAUACCAGGGCAACAAGUUGUAAGGAGUCUGUAUUCUUUCCAGUGUUUGCAGUUUUAUGUUUAAUCCGAUAAGGCAUACGAUAAGGCUUGCACUCAGAUGGAAACUGAAAAGGAAACCCCCAGGACUUCAGGGAGUGGUAGGCUGUGAUCCAGGAGGCACAGCUCUUUCUGCUGCAUCUAACUUGAAGAGCCUCCUCUGCAGAAAGAAGCAGGUAAGGAGGUCAAGGCACCAUCCUGCUAGAAGCAGCACCUUUCAGGUAAGAUGGAAAAAAACCAAAACAGAAUACAGGGCCUGCCCGCCAGGGUGCAUGUUAAAAGUCCCCCAGCACAUGGAUGCCAGCAGCAUCACUUUGCUGGAAGGAAAAGGGUUAACACGGGGUGGUGCAGGCACUCCCUUUCCACCAGGUAGGCUCAGGCACUUUGAAAGAAAACCCUGAGUCCAGCUCCAGCCCACGGAGGGCAGGGCUAAUGCCAAGGACUGGGCAGAGGUCAGCGUUGUUCAGUAUUUAACCGAAUACAGUGGCUGCACAAGCAAUGGGCUCUGGCCAACUCUCAUGACACCAGUGAAUGAGUUUCCUACACUUUCCUUCUCCAACAGCCAGAAGACUCUGCAUCAGUCUAAUCCAUCUCCAAUGCAGGUGAACAAACUGCUUUAAUUAGCCACUCCAGGGCCCUGCAUUAUCUUGUGGAUGGAUUGGACAGGUUUCUCCUGGGACACCACGCUUUUGCACUCGGUAUCUGCAAGCCCCUUCAGCCCAGCAGGCACAGCUCUGAGGGUUGGGUCCGUCACCAUUUCACAUGUCGGUCCUUUCCAUUCGGCCACUCGUAUGUGAUCGCUUGAAUACAUCAUAUUGCAAGACGUUACAUUUAGGGGGUGUUCCAAGUUAUUAGGUCACAUGACCUGGUCUUUACUGUGGAAACUCAAUCAUCCCAUAGCAAAACUUUUCACCUUCUGGAUGAAAUCUAGUUUACAACCCAAGCAUGGGUGGACAGGUGUAUAAGUCCACUGAAUGCAAGGUACAGGCUGUCUAAUGGGCCCAGCACUGAAUAAAGUCUGACCAGUGAGCACAGCUCAAGUAGAGAUGCUUAAUCACGUUUAGGGAGGUUUCCAUUAGCAUCAAACGCGCAUCGCAAGGCUGCAGCAAGACGACACAACCGAUCCGAGCAGCAAGUGACAAAAAACCCCAUCAGCGACAAAGGGAAUUUUAUGCCAACAGAAUGUAAUUAGUUCCGCCACUGGAAUUAGGCCAGCACAAUCAGCAAUUUAAACUAUGUUCCCAGUGUUGCAAUAGUUUCCAUUUCAAAUUUAAAAGAGAAGAUUGGUAAGGGAUAUCCCUUCCUGCUGCACUUAUGGAAUAAAAGAGUGGUGCUAUCAUUAUGCAUUUACAGCAAAACGUACAAAAGCAGUAGAGAAAGACAGCCUGAGAGAUUCGGCCACCUGAUAAAAUGUUCUAAGCGCAAUAUCGCUCCCUUUUGAUGUAGAAGGAUGCAAUAUCUUAAGAGGCAAUUUCUUGUGCAACUUUUACUCUCUGUAGCACUAGCUGUUGAUGGUACUUUCCACUGUUUGGCUCCUAUACAGUUUAAACACAGAUGAAAUAGGAGCACAAAGGCGGCAAAGAAUGAAUUAUGCAGCGAUGACACUAGCAUAGGAAAAAUGACUGUCGAGCAAUGUCAGCUUUGCUGGCUUCUGAGGAGCACUGCCUCGCAGCAAGGUUAUUUCACACUGAUGAGGAAGUGCCAAGCUAGAAAGAGCAGUUGCAUGGGACGCAAGUGCAGAACUCGCAGAGUGACUGGUUUUAAAGAUGCAAGUCCCAUGUCUGCCCUUAACAUUUGCCGGUUUGUUGAAUUCCUAACUUCUGUGCCAGAGCAGGAGGCAGGUGAAUGGCCUCCCAACUCCUCUCGUUCUCCUCUAAAUGAGACAUCACAGUAUGUGUUCAAGGUCAGGGAUGUGGGGAAAGAGAUGACUUGAGUCAGGUCUCCACUAACACCUCUCCAAUCUGGGAUGGCUAGUGAGCAUUCAACUGUACCAGCACAUAGGACUGAUCCUGCACAGCUCAGCUCCACCCACAUUUGCACCUGCCCACACUGUACCUAGAAGGAGCAGCGUCCUCUGCUUUCCCAGAUUUUCCAAGGUAGGAGGAGCUAAUUUACAGGGCCAUUUUACUUCCACUGCAUUCUUCCUACAAAGCAUCCUCAUGUGGGCCUAUGUUACAGGGGGGUGGGAUAACACAGAGGAGCAACAGCUGAUCUCACUUAUUAGUGUAUAAGGAUCAGUGCAACCCCAUUCAAGCAUGUGGCAUUACUAGGGAUCUGCAGUGCACAGGGAGAGUCAGACAAAGUGUUUGACUCUUACCCCAACCCACAUUCCAGACAUUUCAUCAGUUCCAUUCAGCCUACACCCUGCCUGGUGGGACUCGGGAGAGAGAACAGCAGGGCCAUGGGGAGAGCGUGCUGGUGGGGGGGAGAAGGGGAGCAGUGAAAUACAGCAGCCUCAUUCCCCAGCAAGUUUCUGUAAAACUACUUUGCUUCCGUUGUCACUUUGUUAAGAGUUUUAAUGCAGUUUUUGCUCUGCCAACAGAAAAGGACUCAGAGAAGCAGAAUUCUGGGCAGUUUGCUAAUAAAGAGGUGAUGUGCCAGCCCAAAAUGCCUCCUUAGGCAUUGAGAAGGCUGGAGACUGGUAGACUCCAAGCUUAAGAGGAUCUGUAGAGAUGCUCUGUGCUACUUUUGAACUCUACAGACCAUCUUGAACACAGGGUGCUUCCCCACCAUCAUGGCAUUUAGCCUUAUAGGCCUCUCUGCCAGAUAGUUUGGUGCAUUAUCCUCCUUGUCAAGAGGAGUGAAAAUGAGUUUCAGGGAAGUUGAGUCACUUGCUCAAGGUUAUAAUGCUAGCGCUGUUGCGGAGAGCAUGGAUCCAAGAAUCCUGCAGGCAUCUCCAGGAGAUGCCAAGGACUCAGCAGAUCACAGAGACAGAGCCACUGAACAGGAACAGGAGCCACAGCUUUUCCCAACCUGCACUCUCAUCCCCUUGCUGGGGUUAAAAGAAAAAAAAAAAAAAAAAAAAAUCACAGAAGUGUAACAAGAUCUUUAUCUUAUUCAGCUUAAACCCAGGUAUAGAAGUGGCUGCUCUAAGUGCUCCCCUCCUCAGGGCUACUCAGCCCACACCCUAUAUUUUACUCUUCCUAAAGCCUCUCCACAUCCCUCAUAGGCAGGUGGGAGAGCAAAUCACCUGCCUCAGUGUGGCACGAGAACCCCACAAACAUCCCCAGAAGGAUCAAUGCCCAAAGUGUUGGGGAAAAAUAGCUGGGUAACACCCUAAAACCGCUAUGCAGGGGGGGAGGUUUAGUACCAGAGACUGCCAGGGGGAGGAGCAACCUCCCACCCACACAGCCAGGCAGUAACUUGGCAUGGCCACAGCUGUCCAGCUUCCACUCCCGGAAUCCGGUGCUAAAAGCCCGAGGAAGGCAGCGGGCAGGUUGUGUCAGCCUGUCUCCAUACAGCCUGCUCUUACACAACAGGUCACUCGCACAACCCUGCAGCUCAACAGGUUUGGUGGGUUGGGCACCAGUCAGGUCUGGGGACUUUUGGCAGCACCUUCCUCGAUGCACAGUCGCCUGUUUCCCCUGCUGAACACAGCCUAGAAGCAGCAGCGGCCACAGGAGAAAGCUUCUUGCUGCCCCACUCCAGGGCCCUAUGGCGAAAAAAAACCCACAAGCAGUGUUUCCUUGUUACCAGCCCAAGGCUCGAGCCCAGAUAAUUCCUCAUGGGUAAAAGUGCUACCGACAUCCCUGACAUUUGCGGUCAAUGGCUGGAAAUGUUAUUUUGCUGCAUCCACAAAUGCACAGGUGGGUGGAAGUGGAGUGAGUGAGCAGCAGCUUGCUUGGCUUCUCUCUCAUCUGUUUGCAUGAAGCAAGUCACGGUGUCAUCCAGGCCCGACAGCCUUCCUCGUUUUCUCUCCCUUCCUCCAGCAAAAGCACUUGCUGCCCUGACCUCCAAUUCAGAACAGGGCAUGGGGCGAGACCGGCAGGGGCGGGCAGGGCUCCAACCGAGAGGCUUACUCGGUGACAAGACAAGGUGAGAUGCAGGCCCAACAAUGUGCAGCACUUCUAGGGCAGUAUACUUGCUGAUUGCUUCCUUGUCUAUUGUUCACAACAACCAGCUAAGACACUGCCAAAGAAACACUCACAGCUGGCAUCCACUGAUGAGAGGUUGGUUCCAUCUUCCUCCUCCAUCUGAUCUAUAGGAGGCAAGAGUCUAGGGAACAAAGCAACAGUCAAACAGCCAUAAGAAUAAGAAAUCAGCUCUCAAGGUGGAGAUUUCCAACUAUACAUCAACAGACACCCUUUCCCCUGCCCUCCCAUGCACCCUCCCCCCUCCUCCAAUCCAACUGAAGGCCUCUAAACUUUACAGAUAAUUAAUAUUAAGAAAGAAGCCAGCUUACUUGUCUGGAUUCCAUAUUUAUCUAAAUUGCUCCUCCAGGUCCAAACAGCCUUGCUCAGAUAGAUAGUGGGGAUGACAAAGCGCUUCCAGAUGCCUAAUAAAUAGUUUGAGGCAAGUUUGUUCAAACUCCUGGUGGUUUUGCUUGUAUGCACAGUGCUACUCCCAAGCUCCGCAUAGGAUCAGAGGAGAACUCGCUGGGAACGGAUCCACCUGCAGACGACAGCAAAAGCACUCCAAUUCUGAUUUAUGAUCGGGCUACUUUAACGUAUUUUUACACAGCCAGAGAGCCUCAGGGAGGCAGUACUGCUAGUUCUUGUGAUAUCAGUCUUAAAGCCCUGGCUCCCAGAGUCACAUGAAUGUGGUAAGCCAAAUUUAAAGUUAAAAUGUAGGUCUAACCCUCAUGGUUUUAGCCCUGUAAGGCAGGGAAUCUAUUCAUGGAUCUUUUUAGCACAAUGGGGUGCUGCCUUUGUUUUAGAGAGGCUUCUCUUGAGAUCCAAAAAAGUGUCCUUUUUUUUUUUUUGGAGGGAUAGUCACACAUUUGUGAGAUGUGCAAGUUUCCCAUCCAUUCUAUACCAGCCCAGGUAAAAAAAAAGGAUCAUCAUGCCUAAGUGAGUGUGAAUGUGAACAGAGGGCAGGUUAGGGGAAAUAUCAGAAUACAAGCUUGGAUGCCUUUUUUCCUGACCCAGUUCUGUUCCCAGUGAAACUGGAUUUCGUCUUUGGGCAAAUGCCAGUGGUGCCUUUAGCCUGACAGACAGAAGGAGAACAAGAUCCAUGAACUAAAAGCUAGAAUAAAAGAAAAAAUCCAAGCCAGAAAUAAGACCUUUUAUAGGCACAGCAGAUGUAGUUAGUAUUUGGACCAGAUCAGCCCAGCUGAGCUGUAUUUGCCACGCUUGGGGCUCUUCCCUUCAAGGCUGGGUCGGUUCUAAAUGAUGUGCUGUAGUUCAGUAAGGGACUAGGCUUGAUGCAAGAGUCACUGAAGGAAAUGCUGGGGCUUAGAUUAUGCGGGAGCCCUGACCAGAUUAUUAUAAAUGGCCCCUUCAAGCCUUAAAUGCUAGGAAGUGUCUGAGGAGGCUGCCUGGAAGGAGAAAUAAGGGGCUGUGAGUAUAUUCUAGCCAAGUGUAUUCUUUCAUUUUUACCCAGGAGGACUUUUAUAAUCUUUUCUCCGAUGCCUGAUGAAGGGCGCGUGUGUCCGAAAACUUGCAAUUAAAGAAUUUUUUUUUGCAAAAAUCUUGUUGUUCUAAUAAAAAGAUAUCACUUUUA